CCGAAAUUAACCCCACCGAGCUCCCAUUUCUUGAGCCUUCAACUGUAGUAAGUGGUGUAAUGGUUUUCGGUGUUUAUAUUGUGACCGAAGGUACGACGUCGCCGAGGAGGAUGGUGGGUGUGGCGUCGGCUUUGACAGGGCUUUUGUGAGAACAAAUUGGGGAAAAUGUAGGCGUUCUUCAGGAGGUCGAGCAACAAUGGUGUUCUCCGGUGCUUAUAUUGUGACCGGAGGUGCGGCGGAUGGUGGGUGACGCGCUGACCGGGAGGGAGGUGUUUUGGGAAAGCUCAAAUUGGG
rnacentral:lncRNA from 1 species